GACGAACCGUGCGAACGUUGUUCGGAAUCACUGGGCUUAAAGGGCGCGUAGGCGGCUCGCGAGGUCGGGGGUGAAAUCCCACGGCUUAACCGUGGAAGUGCCUUCGAUACCGGCGGGCUCGAGGAAGGUAGGGGUGCGCGGAACUUCUGGUGGAGCGGUGAAAUGCGUUGAUAUCGUUUGGAACGCCAAUGGUGAAAACAGGUUGCUGGGGAUAUGCUGACGCUGAGACACGAAAGCCAGGGGAGCAAACGGG
rnacentral:rRNA from 1 species